AAAUUUUACAGGUGUUGCAUGGCUGUCGUCAGUCCGUGUUGUGAGAUGUUUGGUUAACUCCCUUAACGGACGCAACUCUUAUUUUAUAUUGGAUAUACUUUUGUUAGUAAUAAUAAAAUUCAACUUAUGAAAAACCGCUAUUGAGAAUUUAGAGGAAGAUAAGAAACACGUCAAGUCCUUAUGGCCCUUAUAAACUGGGCUACACACGUGCUACAAUAGAAAAAACAAUUAGUUUAACAAUAAAGUAAUUUAAAGUAAAUCUUCAAAAUUUUCUGUGUUCGGAUUAUUGACUGAAACUCGUCAAUAGAAAGGUGGAAUCACGAGUAAUCGUAUAUCAGCAUGCUACGGUGAAUAUGUACUUAGAUCUUGCACACACCGCCCGUCACGUGCUGGGAGUAUAUUUGGUUUGAAGUCUUU
rnacentral:rRNA from 1 species